rnacentral:rRNA from 1 species
UACGUAGGGGGCAAGCGUUAUCCGGAAUUACUGGGUGUAAAGGGUGAGUAGGCGGCAUGGUAAGCCAGGUGUGAAAGCCUUGGGCUUAACCCGAGGAUUGCAUUUGGAACUAUCAAGCUAGAGUACAGGAGAGGAAAGCGGAAUUCCUAGUGUAGCGGUGAAAUGCGUAGAUAUUAGGAAGAACACCAGUGGCGAAGGCGGCUUUCUGGACUGAAACUGACGCUGAGGCACGAAAGUGUGGGGAGCAAACAGG